AUUGAACGCUGGCGGCAGGCCUAACACAUGCAAGUCGAGCGGAGCGGCGGACGGGUGGGUAAUGCCUAGGUAUCUGCCUGGUAGUGGGGGAUGACGUACGGAAACGGGCGCUAAUACCGCAUACUAUCAGAUGAGCCUGGGUCGGGUUAGCUAGUUGGUGGGGUAAAGGCCUACCAAGGCGACGAUCCGUACCUGGUCUGAGAGGAUGUUCAGUCACACUGGAACUGAGACACGGUCCAGACUCCUACGGGAGGCAGCAGUGGGGAAUAUUGGACAAUGGGCGAAAUCCUGAUCCACCCAUGCCGCGUGUGUGAAGAAGGUCUUCGGAUUGUAAAGCACUUUAAGUUGGGAGGCGUUACCAACAGAAUAAGCACCGGCUAACUUCGUGCCAGCAGCCGCGGUAAUUC
rnacentral:rRNA from 1 species